UGUGUUUGGCUGCUGAUAGGGCACUGGGAUCUGUGUAAUUUCCCAUGGAGCAACCCACUGCACCAGCUCAAACGUCUCUUCCUGGGAAUCUCCUGGUCUGGCUCACUGUCCAAGUCCCAUUAUUGCACUGAUUUUCUUAUGAGUAAAAUUGUUACAUUCAAACUCAUGCACAGAGUAUUUUACUGAAUGACAUUCUGCAGUAAGACCUGUCAUGAAUAUUGCUGAGAGACACAGAGUAUAAUUCCUACCUUAAACUUAAAUUAUAAAACUCUCAAGGAUGUUCUCAAAUAACAUUGGAUAAAUCUAUGCUAUGUCAUUGGAAGACAAAUACUUCUAAAGUAUAUUACACUGUUGUCACCAUUAUUUUUUUUAUUUGUGAGUAUGUAUAAGGGUUGCUUUAAAACCAAUUUCAAAAUAAAUGAAAAUUGAUACAAAGAAUCCUAAUCAUGAAAUUACUUUUACCUUAAACGUUUCCACAGUUUUUUUUCCUCUCUUUUUUUUUUUCAAGUUGGCUGACUAGGGAUGUUGGAUGCCAGCUCUCCUCAGAAAGAUCAAAGUUACAGGUGAAUGGUCAUGAUUUAAAUGGAAAUCUGAGGAAAUGGAGCAAGGUCCUGUUGGAGCACUCAUGAGAGGAUCCAGGAGCACAAAAGAGGAAAGCAACAAGAGACUGGCAGAGAUUGAUUCUCUAGAAACUUGGACCAUGAAAAGGGUGGGAAGGAGAGAAGACCAUGCUAAAUAUUACUCUUGGAAAAGUACAUGUGCUGCAGAGAAAUCUUUAUUCAUAGGCCUAUAA
rnacentral:lncRNA from 1 species